rnacentral:rRNA from 1 species
UACGUAGGGUGCAAGCGUUAAUCGGAAUUACUGGGCGUAAAGCGCACGUAGGCGGAUCGUUAAGUCGGGGGUGAAAUCCUGGAGCUCAACUCCAGAACUGCCUUCGAUACUGGCGAUCUUGAGUCCGGAAGAGGUGAGUGGAACUCCUAGUGUAGAGGUGGAAUUCGUAGAUAUUAGGAAGAACACCAGUGGCGAAGGCGGCUCACUGGUCCGGUACUGACGCUGAGGUGCGAAAGCGUGGGUAGCAAACGGG